rnacentral:rRNA from 1 species
UACGAAGGGGGCUAGCGUUGCUCGGAAUGACUGGGCGUAAAGGGCGCGUAGGCGGCGCGGUAAGUCACUUGUGAAAUCUCUGAGCUUAACUCAGAACGGCCAGGUGAUACUGCAGUGCUAGAGUGUGGAAGGGGCAAUCGGAAUUCUUGGUGUAGCGGUGAAAUGCGUAGAUAUCGGGAGGAACACCAGUGGCGAAGGCGAUCACCUGGGGUUGUUCUGACGCUGAGGAGCGAAAGCUAGGGGAGCAAACGGG